UAGGGAAUCUUCGGCAAUGGGGGCAACCCUGACCGAGCAACGCCGCGUGAGUGAAGAAGGUUUUCGGAUCGUUAAAGCUCUGUUGUAAGUCAAGAACGGGUGUGAGAGUGGAAAGUUCACACUGUGACGGUAGCUUACCAGAAAGGGACGGCUAACUACGUGCCAGCAGCCGCGGUAAUACGUAGGUCCCGAGCGUUGUCCGGAUUUAUUGGGCGUAAAGCGAUGCGCAGGCGGUUUGAUAAGUCUUGAAGUUAAAGGCUGUAGG
rnacentral:rRNA from 1 species